rnacentral:lncRNA from 1 species
CAAACCCGCCCGGCCCGGCAGCCGUACCGCAGACGAGCCCGCGCCCGCGCCGCUCAGAUCUCCCAGCUGGACAUUGGAAAUAACUUUUGAUGGUGUAGGGACUUUUCCAUGUGACCCCAGGUAAGUCCUCUUUUGGUGACCAUUUAUAAAUAUUUGUAAAGACAUUUGAACAG